rnacentral:rRNA from 1 species
UACAGAGGGGGCAAGCGUUGUUCGGAAUUACUGGGCGUAAAGGGCGCGUAGGUGGCCUUCUAAGUCGAACGUGAAAUCCCUGGGCUCAACCCAGGAACUGCGUCCGAGACUGGGAGGCUUGAAUCCGGGAGAGGGAUGCGGAAUUCCAGGUGUAGCGGUGAAAUGCGUAGAUAUCUGGAGGAACACCGGUGGCGAAGGCGGCAUCCUGGACCGGCAUUGACGCUGAGGCGCGAAAGCUAGGGGAGCAAACGGG